rnacentral:rRNA from 1 species
UGGGGAAUAUUGGGCAAUGGGCGAAAGCCUGACCCAGCAACGCCGCGUGAAUGAUGAAGGCCUUCGGGUUGUAAAAUUCUUUGGACAGGGACGAAGAAAGUGACGGUACCUGUAGAACAAGCCACGGCUAACUACGUGCCAGCAGCCGCGGUAAUACGUAGGUGGCGAGCGUUAUCCGGAUUUACUGGGCGUAAAGGGCGUGUAGGCGGCUAGAUAAGUGUGAUGUUUAAAUCCAAGGCUUAACCUUGGGGUUCAUUACAAACUGUUUAGCUUGAGUGCUGGAGAGGAUAGUGGAAUUCCUAGUGUAGCGGUAAAAUGCGUAGAUAUUAGGAGGAACACCGGUGGCGAAGGCGGCUAUCUGGACAGUAACUGACGCUGAGGCGCGAAAGCGUGGGGAGCAAACA